AAAUAAUUAGUCGCGACUUGUCAGUUGUAAUUACUUAUUUGUCACUAGUGUCCUUAGUUAUAAUGUAAGUCUAAAGUCUACUUAUAAGUCUAUGGUUGUGUCUCGUGUGUUGAGCUUUAUCAGUCUGUCCAUAAUAAUUAAUAUUGAUGAGUUUAAAGACGAGUAAAAGUAAUAAAAUAUGUUGCAAACGUAGCAAUAUGUAUAGAAACGCACAAAAUAUUAAGUUUUAUACGUUCCCUAGUCGAAAUUAUGAAAAGUGCUUGAAAAGAAAAUGAAUACGAGCAGUUGACCUUAUGGA